AAGCAGCCUGUUGUGAGAUAUUAUUACAUACCUUUGGCGCAGCAAGUCCUGGUGGUGAUCUUUGAAAUUCACACAGAAGCAGGGGCAAGUGAUUUCAGACUCGCUUUAUUGACCACGACGAGGGGUGGGCCCUGGUAAACGCUUUUGAUUGGAAAUUUAUAAGCUGGGGAGAAGGCUGGCCUUUUAGAAGAACCUGGAAUAAAUUUCAACAAGGUGCCCGUGUUCGAGACAUAAACUUCCAGCAGUCGCCACCUUACCAAAUAGUCCCACAAUUAGGAGUACGCUGCUGCAUGUGGAAUAGUUAAGGGCUACGUAUUUUAUAGAAAGCUACAGCACACGGGUCACAUGAUUAUCGCAAGUCCUAAGUAUGCAUUGUCCUUACAAACCUGAGAAAAACCAUGUAUUUCUUCAAACGUGGCCUGGGGCCCUGUGAAUUCUGCCUCGAGGAAAUCGGGUACAGAAAGAUGAGGGUAAAGAUGGAAAUGAGAAGCAUUAAAGAAAAACAGAGACCCUUCUGAAGAAGGGUACCGACCCCAAACGUCAACGUUCUCCUACUCUGAUGCUGCCUGGCCUGCUGUGCUCCUCCAGCUCCAUACUGUGUUACCUCUGACUUCAGCAUCGACAGUUCCUACUAUCAGUUUUUUUUUAAAAAAAGUUGCCAUCACUCAAAAUGAACAAGUCUCUCAGACCAGAAAGGAUACUCUCAGCCGUGAGACAACAGAUGUUCUGACCACAAUCUUUCAGUUCUCUAUGGUUCCGUGUGUGAUGUCAGCGAGAGGACUGGACAGUGAUAAAUUUUACAGUCCUGUUCCGAAAUGUAUGCAUACAACUACAGACCAGAUAUCAAUGGUUGGAAAGUCUCCUUGACAACAUUGGCCAGAUCCAAAUUAAAAAUGACAUCCAGCAGAGAUUUACUGAAGUAGUGCCUGACAAACCAGACUGAAUUAUUUGAUGAAACAGUGGAGAAGGUUAAUGAAGGGGAUGUGGCAAUCACCGGAGACACCGGUACUUAUUACUCAUCACUAAAUGCUCUUGAGAAGGCAGUGUUGAGCUGCAGCUUUGAAUCACUGCAAUUUUGUUUGGCCGAGGUACACUCACAAUGCCAUUAACGCAUGAAUACUGGGACUUCCAUCGAAAGGCACCAACAUCACUGUGGGCUGCAGAUUUGUGGAUACAAUACUAGCCCCUGGCUAAGUUACUCAACUUAAAUGUGGACUGUGACAGUAAAUAUUAGCAAGCUGCUCCUGCCCCAGAAGGUAUCACAAUCUCGUCUAUACUGACAACCAUGCACAACCUCCGUCCAGUUGGCGCCAAUGGAUGUUGAUCAGCAAUGGGAAUACUGGCAGAUUCCUGGUCCUCAGCACAGCAGCAGCAAUUUGCAGAUAAUAGGUGCUUUUAUUGUGGUGAUAUACAUCUAACUUAAAACGAAGGCAACUGGCUGGAAGAGUCGCAACGUUGUACACAAACUGCACACAGAGUCCUUAAAGAUGAACUGUUUUAAAGACAAGAUACACAGACAACGCCAAUCAUUGCCAACAAGUGAUAGGGAGGCAAGCUACCACCAUUCGCUUUUCUGACUGCAUCUACAUGGCCUACUUGGCCUGGACUGGUGAAAGAAACUGCAACAUAAUCUAACUAAAGGAGGCUGUUACCUUAAACGAUAAAUAAUUUAUUGGAUGAUAGUAAUCAGGUAAAUGCUGUAUUAGUAAGAUAGACAAUAACAAUUAAGAGACCUAGAUGAAAGGUGUGGAGCUGGAUGAACAUAUAUGCCAAGCAGCAUCUAAGGAGCAGGAAAGCUGACUUUUGGGCCUAGACUCUGACCUAGGUGAUAGACCGUCCACUACAUUGAUGGCUUGAGCACUUGAAAGACAAGGAAGGCAGGCCUAAACUUUUAGGCAAAGGCAUCUCAGUGAUUUUUCACUGAUGUAGGGAUGAUUAAAACAUUUACAAUGAGGAAGUUCAAAUCAUGAAAGUAUACAAUGCAUGUGGGGCACUAAAUUACAGAAUGCCCAUUGAGCAGAUCCCAAAAUCCCAAAGUAAACCACUGAGAAUGUAUUCUUGCUAAUAAGGUUUUUGUAACUACACAAGUUGUAUUUGAGGACUGGAAGGUACCUCAAGUAGCUAUAGUGUUCAAAAUGGUAUGUGAUUGCAAUCAGAGAAUACAAUCAUCUAAGGAAUACAAGUACCUAAUGACAGCUAUCAGAAUGGGUUUAGUAAAAAUGAUUCAUGCCUCAUGAAUCUUUUCAGAUGAUGAUGAAAUUAACAGAUGAAGGUUAUCUGCUUGAUGCUAUUCACUUGAUUCCUGAAGGCAUUUGAUAAGGUUCUACAUGUCGCAGGUUUUCAGAGAACUCAAAGACAAAUAGAGUUAUACUAAUUGAAAUUUGUCUUGACAAGGAGCAUCAAAAAGUUUCUGGAUUGUAAAAUCCAGUAUUUAAAAAGGAUCAAAAUGACAAUUGAAAGCUGUGUGGCACACUGUGUUUCCAUUUGUAUUGAUACAUCAUCUAAGAAUGCAUGCUUGUCAGCUAGGUUUGAAUAACAUAGAUCCUCUACUUAGAAUGAUAUUCCAGAAAUCCAGCGUUACUCUUUUGUGGGUUUCAGGAAAAUGUCCCAUUUGUGUCGUUUUAGACUUAAACCUGAACAAAGUAUACUCAAUGCAUUAGGGACGGCACAACUGAGCAAAUCAUGUGUUACAUAUGGACAGAAUUGGCUUAACCCCAACUCCUCAAUUGGUAAAGGUACUCUGCAAACGAACCAUGAAGAUCACAAAGUUCAGACUUCAGUCUCAGUCUGUGCUGAUGUAAUUAAGUUUAACUGUGUAGCAAUAGGAUCGUGAUGGUUAGUAUUGUGAGUGUGCCUUGCAUCGAAGAGAGUUUGCUUUUCAUGACCCUAUGUGAUGUAUGUAUACAGUAUUGCUAUUCUUCUGGACAGACAGCCUACUUCAGAGUUACACACGAACAUCAGUAGUUUGCUUCAAAACUUAUAAUGUGUUUUACUAUUUUAAAUAAACUAACCUAAACUAAUAAAAACCGAAAGAACUGUGGAUGCUGUAAAUCAGGAACAAAAACACAAGUUGCUGGAAAUGCUCAGCAACCUAAACUAGUGAUCCCCGAUGAGCAAUUAGUGAUUAGGCCAUAAGCAUUAACAUUACACGAUGAACAGUGGUGGAAAGCAUGGUGCUGAUAAGGUCUAUCUUGCUUGAACAGACAGCAAUGAGUUAAUCUACCCGUAGGAUAUGUGUUUCACAGUCCGACAUCAUCUUCUGGCACAUCAAACAGUCCUCAGUUCCUUUGUCACAGCACGGAGAGAGUUGAAAAUGCAACUGGCUGGUAAGCAGACAAAUCCCUAUUUGGAGGCCUGUUUAACUAAUUUGAGAAAUGCAAGAGAUCUGAGUAUGAUAGCAAGCAGAGAGAGAUCAAAUCUGUAUUGUCAAAAUGUUCACAAAAUUCCUCUGUUUGAAAUUUAAAAUGUGUCAGCAGCAUUCAGAACUGCGGUUUCUACAUUUGGGUGUGUCCAGUGCAGUAAAAACAAGCCAUGAAGGUUUGUUUAGGAGUUGGGGUGAAGGUCUAAAAAGAUGUAAUAAAUCAGCGUGAACAGCCGAAGGGAUAAAUGAUCUCUAGAGGAUAUAGACCACAAAUAGAAGAUCAGCUCAGAGUCAGAUUAAACUUCCCUAUUCAUUGACUAAAGUUCAUGUGAUUUGGACACUGGUCUACAGACUCCAUUGACAAAUUCGUGAACAGACGCAGAGAAAAGGACUCAUUGUCUCUGACUUUUCAGUUGGAGAGCUAGCAAACAGAAUUGCUGCAUUGGUGUUUGCGUCCAGCCCCACGGAAACUAUUCAGAAUGAUUUGUUGGACAAACCAGGGCCUUAUAGUGUUGUUCAGUGACAGAUGGAUCCUUGCUGGCCUGCAAAGUGUACAUAUCCUAAAUACAAACUUGAUAGUUGAAACAAUCAUUACAACACCCAAAUGUAGCAAAUUAAGUGCAAGGUGUGGCCUGCUGCAUGAACCAAGGAAAUGCCCAGAUUACAAUCCAUUUUGCAAGUCAUGUGGCAGAAAAGGCCAAUGGUAGAGGCAGUUCACUUUCCAGCAAAGGCUGAAGUAUCCACAUAGAGCCAUACAUGAACCCAAACAGAUCAUACACAUACAGUAUCUGCAAGUUACAGGAACAACCAUCAAUACCCCACCAGAGGCAUGUACAUGAAGUGAUCAACAAGCCAGAACUGAAGAUGCACGUAGUCGGACAAGAGUGGCAAAUACAUAUUUCAUACUGUCUCUCUCAAAGAAAACAUUAGUGUCAUCACCAUCUGAAAUUUGCAAAAAUUCAAAUGAUCUCUCCUCAGAAAAAUGCUGUCUGUCGGCUAAGUUUGAUACUGCAACAAGUGUCAGUAUAUGUCCAUGUAAAUUCUAAGACACAUGAACAUAUAGGCAUGGGAAACCAUCAAACAAACCAAUAAAUAUAAAAUUAUAGUAUUCAACUGUUCACCAAUUCCAAGUAGAGAAUCUGAAAUGCUCAGUGCAAGUACAAUCAAUCUGUCUGGACGUUGUAGAUGUUCUACUUCGUAGACAAUGCUGAACUUGCAAUUUCAUUUCUAUCAUGAUCUCACACUCGCCAUAAAAUUUGGAAUCAGCUAAAAAAAUAGACAUUGUAGAAACUAUUAGCAGACUCAUGAAGAAAUACUUGCAGAACUGAAUAAGAGAAAAGAAGGGAAUACCACCUUCUUCCAAACUGGUGGAGCUAAAAUCUCAGCUGCCUUCUGUGGGGAGAAAAGGAAAGUUAAAGGAGAAAAGCCUGAACCAUUAGAUCAGAAAGAAAUCCAAACUUUGGAAUGUUAUCUCUCAAAUGAUGAACUCUGCUUAGCUCACAAAGAUGAAUGAAGAGCUGAAAACAAAAGAAAGGAAGCAGAGGGAACUAUAAGCUCUGUAUUCUCAAUCCAAUGAGAAGAUUGCCAAUUUAGGGGAAGAUUUGGAAAAAAUAACAUUGAAGACAGAUCAGACUCUGCAGGAGCAAUUACAGAAACUUUGACUUGUGGUUCAAAACAAUGAUACAGAAAAUGAGAGACCUGCAAAAACAGUUUGCAAUGGUAAGCAUGUAAACAAGAAUUUGUAAAUCACUAGUAAGGGAGUUCUUUCAGAAAUAAAUGCCAGCAAUGACAUCCUUUGGAAUAAAUCGCGUGGCAGAGUAAAACAAACAACCACUGAUGAAGAAAUUUAGAAACCAGGCUGCAAACAAAACAAAAAGAUGAACAGUUGGAGUGCCUGGGCAGUUGUUAUGACAGCCUUUUGUAGGAGAAAAACAUACUGUAUCAACAGGCAUGUAAAGUGCUUCUAAAAUUAGCAGAAUCCAGGGUGUAAAACCAAAAGCUACAAAAUGAGCUGGAAGCUCUUGAGGAACAAAGCUUGGCUGAAUUUAUCAGGAGAAGUAAAUUCUGGAAUAGCAACUUGUGAAAAAAGAAUUUGACAGCAGUUCCAGACUGAUACAUGCAGAUUUGAUGAUGGUGAAUCAGCAAAUUACCUCUGUGUCAUAUAAAUCUAACUUGUUAGCACAGAAGUUAUAUUUUCUUCCAAAAGGGAGUGGAAUAUUGUCAGUGUACCUUUCCAUCAAAAGAUUUUGUCUAAACUUCUCAAUGUGCUGUCUGUAUGCAAUGUUUUGACUUCUGGGCGCUAGGUCUACUUUGGGUUUGCAAACCGCACACACGAACACCAGGUGUUUGCUGCAAUGUCUG